rnacentral:misc_RNA from 1 species
GGCUGGUGUCUCAGAAGUCUUCAUCUUCUAGUGCUCUGGUAGAGUCUGAGACUGAGCUCGAAACUUCACCAAAGAACAAGAGACAAAAGACAACAGCUUCUUCAGAGGAAGUGGUAAACCCAGAUGUGCAACAAAGGAUGUCUCAUAUUACAGUGGAGCGCAACCGGAGAAAACAAAUGAACGAGCACUUGUCUGUCUUAAGAUCACUCAUGCCAUGCUUCUAUGUCAAGAGAGGAGACCAAGCAUCAAUAAUUGGAGGUGUUGUUGAUUACAUCAAUGAGUUGCAGCAAGUUCUACAAUCCCUUGAGGCCAAGAAGCAAAGAAAAGUUUACAGUGAAGUACUUAGCCCUAGGCUAGUCUCAAGUCCAAGACCCUCACCACUUAGCCCUAGAAAACCACCACUGAGUCCUAGACUCAAUUUACCUAUAAGCCCAAGAACCCCACAACCAGGCAGCCCCUACAGACCUAGGUUACAGCAAGGCUACCUCUCCCCCACCAUGGUCAGUUCGCUGGAACCAUCUCCAACUUCGUCUUCUUCCUCCAUAAAUGACAAUAUCAACGAACUGGUUGCAAAUUCCAAGUCUGCCAUUGCCGCUGUGGAGGUUAAAUUCUCUGGCCCAAACGUUCUAUUGAAAACAGUAUCUCCCAGGAUUCCUGGUCAAGCUGUGAAGAUCAUUUCUGCCCUGGAAGAUCUCUCGCUAGAGAUCCUUCAAGUGAGCAUGAACACUGUAGACGAGACCAUGCUUAAAUCCUUCACCAUCAAGAUUGGAAUUGAAUGCCAACUUAGUGCAGAGGAGCUCGCUCAACAAAUCCAGCAAACAUUCUGCUAAUUAGUAGGUUUAAUUCAACCUUCAAAUCCGAACCUAAAAACCCCUUUUAAUUUCUCUCUUUAGCUCUAAAGAUGCAUGCAUGUAGUAAUAAAGAAAUAUAGGGAGGCAUUUACCAGCAUUCCUAUUAACAAGCGUUAUUGUAGAUCAGUCUCAUGACCUGUAGUAAGUUUUUUUUUUUUUUGACAAG